rnacentral:rRNA from 1 species
UAGGGAAUCUUCGGCAAUGGACGGAAGUCUGACCGAGCAACGCCGCGUGAGUGAAGAAGGUUUUCGGAUCGUAAAGCUCUGUUGUAAGAGAAGAACGGGUGUGAGAGUGGAAGGUUCACACUGUGACGGUAUCUUACCAGAAAGGGACGGCUAACUACGUGCCAGCAGCCGCGGUAAUACGUAGGUCCCGAGCGUUGUCCGGAUUUAUUGGGCGUAAAGCGAGCGCAGGCGGUUAGAUAAGUCUGAAGUUAAAGGCUGUGGCUUAACCAUAGUACGCUUUGGAAACUGUUUAACUUGAGUGCAGAAGGGGAGAGUGGAAUUCCAUGUGUAGCGGUGAAAUGCGUAGAUAUAUGGAGGAACACCGGUGGCGAAAGCGGCUCUCUGGUCUGUAACUGACGCUGAGGCUCGAAAGCGUGGGGAGCGAACAGGAUUAGAUACCCUGGUAGUCCACGCCGUAAACGAUGAGUGCUAGGUGUUAGGCCCUUUCCGGGGCUUAGUGCCGCAGCUAACGCAUUAAGCACUCCGCCUGGGGAGUACGACCGCAGGGUUG